rnacentral:rRNA from 1 species
UACGAAGGUCCCGAGCGUUGUUCGGAAUCACUGGGCGUAAAGGGAGCGUAGGCGGCGCGGUAAGUCAGAUGUGAAAUCCCGGGGCUCAACCCCGGAACUGCAUCCGAUACUGCCGUGCUAGAGGAUUGGAGAGGUAGCUGGAAUUCUUGGUGUAGCAGUGAAAUGCGUGGAUAUCAAGAGGAACACUCGUGGCGAAAGCGAGCUACUGGACAACUCCUGACGCUGAGGCUCGAAGGCCAGGGUAGCGAACGGG